AUUGAACGCUGGCGGCAGGCCUAACACAUGCAAGUCGAACGAGUGGCGGACGGGUGAGUAAUGUCUGGGAAACUGCCCGAUGGAGGGGGAUAACUACUGGAAACGGUUGCUAAUACCGCAUACCAUCGGAUGUGCCCAGAUGGGAUUAGCUAGUAGGUGGGGUAACGGCUCACCUAGGCGACGACCCCUAGCUGGUCUGAGAGGAUGACCAGCCACACUGGAACGGAGACACGGUCCAGACUCCGACGGGAGGCAGCAGUGGGGAAUAUUGGACAAUGGGCGCAAGCCUGAUGCAGCCAUGCCGCGUGUGUGAAGAAGGCCUUCGGUUUGUAAAGUACUUUCAGCGAGGAGGCGUUACUCGCAGAAGAAGCACCGGCUAACUCCGUGCCAGCAGCCGCGGUAAUUC
rnacentral:rRNA from 1 species